rnacentral:rRNA from 1 species
UACGUAGGGCGCAAGCGUUAUCCGGAAUUAUUGGGCGUAAAGAGCUCGUAGGCGGUUUGUCGCGUCUGCUGUGAAAGUCCGGGGCUCAACUCCGGAUCUGCGGUGGGUACGGGCAGACUAGAGUGAUGUAGGGGAGACUGGAAUUCCUGGUGUAGCAGUGAAAUGCGCAGAUAUCAGGAGGAACACCGAUGGCGAAGGCAGGUCUCUGGGCAUUAACUGACGCUGAGGAGCGAAAGCAUGGGGAGCGAACAGG